UAGGGAAUCUUCCGCAAUGGGCGAAAGCCUGACGGAGCAAUGCCGCGUGAGUGAAGAAGGCCUUCGGGUCGUAAAACUCUGUUAUAAGAGAAGAACAAAUUGUAGAGUAACUGCUCCAGUCUUGACGGUAUCUUAUCAGAAAGCCACGGCUAACUACGUGCCAGCAGCCGCGGUAAUACGUAGGUGGCAAGCGUUGUCCGGAAUUAUUGGGCGUAAAGGGAGCGCAGGUGGUUUCUUAAGUCUGAUGUGAAAGCCCACGGCUUAACCGUGGAGGGGCAUUGGAAACUGGGAAACAUGAGUACAGAAGAGGAAUGUGGAACUCCAUGUGUAGCGGUGGAAUGCGUAGAUAUAUGGAAGAACACCAGUGGCGGAGGCGACAUUCUGGUCUGUUACUGAAACUGAGGCUAGAAAGCGUGGGGAGCAAACAGG
rnacentral:rRNA from 1 species